UAAUACAGAGGUCUCAAGCGUUGUUCGGAAUCACUGGGCGUAAAGGGUGCGUAGGUGGCGUGGUAAGUCAGAUGUGAAAGCCCGGGGCUUAACCUCGGAACUGCAUCCGAUACUACCAUGCUAGAGUACUGAAGAGGAAACUAGAAUUCUCGGUGUAGCAGUGAAAUGCGUAGAUAUCGAGAGGAAUACCAAAGGCGAAGGCAGGUUUCUUGGCAGUUACUGACACUGAGGCACGAAGGCCAGGGGAGCGAACGGG
rnacentral:rRNA from 1 species